ensembl:snoRNA
UACACUUAGAGAUGAUGAUUACGAGUAGGAAUCCAAUAGGGGGCUAAUCCUGUCUUAUUACAAAUGUGUGUA